GACCGAGGUGCCAAGCGUUAGGCGGAAUCACUGGGCUUAAAGCGUGUGUAGGCGGGCGAUCAAGUACCUUGUGAAAUCCCACGGCUCAACCGUGGAACUGCUGGGUAUACUGGUUGUCUUGGGCCAGCUAGAGGUUACCGGAACAAACGGUGGAGCGGUGAAAUGCGUAGAGAUGCGGAGGAACACCGAUGGCGAAGGCAGCCCCCUGGGCUAACACUGACGCUCAGGCACGAAAGCGUGGGGAGCAAACAGG
rnacentral:rRNA from 1 species